AACGUUUUGCUACAGAUUCGUCAUAAUGAAAACAUCCCUAGCGUCACAUGGUCUGGGUGCAAUCUGCUAUGCAUAAUUGCAAACCUCUGGACAUAUUCAACUCACUGUUUCAUUGUUUAGUCAGAUCAUUGUCCCAACUCCCAACAUGAAGAUACCAGUUGUUGAUUUUGGAGCAUACAAGUUAGGGGAAAACGAUGUUUCGAGCGAACAGUUAGAGAUCCUGAGCAGGCAGUUGAAAACGGCCUUUACGGAAGUGGGAUUUGUUUAUCUGAAGAAUACUGGGAUAGUGCAACUCGAGGUGGAUGGGGUUAUGAACAUAUCCAAGAAAUUCUUUCUACAACCAGACGAAAUGAAACUGCCUUUCAGCAGGAAAAGUUUCUCUAAUAAUCCUAACCAUGGCUGGGUGUCUUCAGAGACAGAGAGUUUAAAUCCCAAGAGACCCGGAGACCUAAAGGAAGCCUUCAACACUGCGUCCUUUCAUCCAGACAUAAAAUGGCCAUCAUGGGAAGGAGUGAAUGGAUUCUGUGAGAUCCAGUCAUCGUUCUUCCUGCGCUGUAAGGACCUGUGUCUACGGGUGCUUCAUGUGAUGGCCUACAGUCUGGGCCUGGAGGCUGAGGUCUUCCUGGGUGCACACAGACACAUAGGGAGGGAUGAGAACGGCACUACCCUGAGGUCGCUGUAUUACCCCCCGGUGAGGAGUGACAGGGUGAAGGAGGGCCAGCUGCGCUGUGGAGAACACUCUGACUACGGCAGCAUCACCCUGGUCUUCCAGAGCCAAGAGGGUGGCCUACAGAACCAAGAGGGUGGCCUGCAGGUGCGUACCAGGUCAGGGGAGUUCAUCUCUGCUCCCAGUAUCCCUGGGACAGUACUGAUCAACAUAGCUGACCUGAUGCAGAGGUGGACCAGUGAUGUUUUCCUCUCAGCGGUCCAUAGGGUUUUGCUGCCCCCCGCUGGAGACUCAAGCACACGGCAGUCCCUGGCUUUCUUUGUGCAGCCAGACGAUGAUGCCCUCAUCACCUGUUUUGACGGGUCCAACAAAUAUCCCCCUGUGAAGUCAGGGGCCUAUCUCAGCGAACGCUUCAAUGACUCUUAUGGAAGGAAGUGAGCUUUAUCUAUCCAUCAUUAAUUAUUUUGUGGUAUGCAAUUAUGUCAGUGAAACAGAAUGUCAGUAAAGAGAGGUACGGCACCUCCGUACCUUCAGGCUCUGAUCAGGCCCUACACCCAAACAAGGGCACUGCGUUCAUCCACCUCUGGCCUGCUGGCCUCCCUACCUCUGAGGAAGCACAGUUCCCGCU